UGUAAACAGAACUGCCAUAAAUCCCCUCAGGUUCUGCACGAGGGUUGGGGAAAUCCAAACCAUAAAUACAGGUUGGACAUGGAAUGGAUUGAGAGCAGCCCCGAGGAGAAGGACUUAGGGGUGUUAGUUGAUGAGAAGCUUGACAUGAUGCAACAAUGUGCACUUAGAUCCCAGAAAGCCAAACCUGUCCUUGUUGUGGAGUGUGGCCAGCAGGUUGAGGGGGUGAUUGUCCCCUUCUGCUCUGGUGAGACCUCAAUUGGAGUAGUAUGUCCAGUUCUGGGGCCCUCUACAUAAGGACAUGGACUGGAUGGAGCAAGUCAUGAGGAGGGCCACAAAGAAGAUCAGAGGGCUGGAACACCUCUCCUAUGAAGACAGGCUGAGAGAGCUGGAGAUGUUCAGCCUGGGGAAGAGAAGGCUCCUGGGGCUCAUUAUUAUACCUUCCAGCACCUAAAGGGCCCUUACAAGAGAGCUGGAGAAGGAAUUUUGGUGAGGGCAUUUUGCUCCAGCUUCAACUCUGACCUAAAGCAGAAAGCACAAGAGGAAUCACUUGAAGUGAAAAUGGGUUUCUAGGUCAAACAGACCUUAGGGGCUGAAAUCACAAGAAUGCAUCUUA